AAGACUAUACUUUCAGGGAUCAUUUCUAUAGUUUUUGACUAGUGAAAUGUGUUUCUAAAGUGUUUGGUCGUGCCAACCACGAUGACGAGACGAGAUAUUCCUUUCUGAGCGUGAAGCUGGCGGGGAAAUUUGAUUCUUUCAUACGUUCUCCUCCAUUGAUGAACGUUCGUUACUUCCUUUCGGAGUACUGAUGGAAGGAAUAUGUUCAGAGUGGU